rnacentral:rRNA from 1 species
UACGUAGGGUGCGAGCGUUAAUCGGAAUUUCUGGGCGUAAAGCGUGCGCAGGCGGUUCGUUAUGUCCGAUGUGAAAGCCCCGAGCUUAACUUGGGAAUGGCAUUGGAAACUGGCGGGCUGGAGUGCGGCAGAGGGGGGUGGAAUUCCACGUGUAGCAGUGAAAUGCGUAGAGAUGUGGAGGAACACCGAUGGCGAAGGCAGCCCCCUGGGCCGACACUGACGCUCAGGCACGAAAGCGUGGGGAGCAAACAGG